CGCAGAGCAGCCCGAUGCCCAGUGCGAUGCCCGCACUUGCCCCGGCACUCAGCUGUGUCUCCAGCACCCGCUCUCGGUAGCACAGCAGGAAGAUGACCACCGAGCCAAACAGCAACCCAGUGAGGAAGAGUACUGCCUUGAAGCAGCGGUAACCUGGAGGGGAACAAGGGCUAGUGAGGGGCCAAAAUGAGGUCACCAGGCUCCAGAAAGGGGAUCAGAGGGGUUAUGGACAUGAGAAUCACAGAGGAACCAGGAGCAGGUCACUAAGGUCAGAAUCUUGGGGGCCACUGGAGUUCUGAGGGCAUCAGUGAUGGGACCAUUGGGGUCCAAGGAGGUCAGAGAGAUAGGUCAUUGGGACUCACUGGGAAAGCAGAGAGAUAAGAGUUACUGAGAUGAGUGUUGGGUCUUUGAGGGUCAGAUAAACCAUUGGAGUCAAGA
rnacentral:lncRNA from 1 species